GUGGAAUAUCAAGAUGCUAACUGUAGCUGCAGAAGCUUCAGUGGAGUUGUGGGUAUGUGCAUGGAUGCACCAGCUCGUUACAAGUGGCUCACUGCUGAGUUUCAUCAACGGAGCAAGAUCUGGGCCCAUCCCCACGUGGCUCUCCAGAAUAUGCUGUUUACCUAAGCACUCUCUUGGAACAGGCAUUCUUCAAAAACAUAAAGUAACAGGAGGCAGGGCUUUCCCAAACUUCACCUACAUUCUGUUAGAGGAGAGGGUAGGUUGGGGGCUGUGUGACAAACAGGCUCAACGGCUGCACUGACAUACGUCUUGCUUAGGUGUCUAGACCAUGCUAGGCCUCAGUGUUACAAUUCCAUGACCUGGAAAACUCAUGAAGAUUAGAAUGCCAGGCGGGUGCUCAUUAAGAAUAGAACACCAGGUUAUGUGCUCAUUAAGAGCAGACAACCAGGUGGGUGCUCACAGCUGCUGCCAUUCACACCAACCGUUUCCCCCAUCCCACGAGUCUCCACAAUCUCAGCAUGGAUUUGGAUUCCAUGUUUCAAAACAGUGCAUGAAACAGUUCAGCAGUCCGUUCACUGUCUCCGCUUUGUUUGAGCUUCUUCAGAUUAGAUGAUGGCAUUGUGGAUGCUGAUGCAGCAGUCUCUCCCUCUUCGAUCUUUGAUUCUACAUUGCACAGUCCUUCUUAUUUCAGUAACACCAUGCCCAUGGCUAAUAUAUUUUGUAAUGUAACACAUGGCAAUCACAAAUGUGAGCAAACAAGAAGUGCACGCAAGCAUUAAUACCGUCAUGGUUAACAAGGGUCUUGCAUUGCCUCUUCUCAUAACCUGUAUACGUAGAUACAGAGAAUCCAAAGAUGACAAGGAUGGGAUUAUCCACUGAGUCUGAAUACGAUGUUCUUACCUGUGGGCGUUGGAACCUUCCCACGUACAAAAAUUCAGUGGUGCUUUGAGAAUGGGAAGUACUUGUCGUGUUGGUGGCAGAUCAACUAAGACUGGUUUUCAUGAGUAGUGAAGGGGCUUUACCGGAUCUUUGCUUUCUCUUUUUCCCUGCAACAAGGAGAAGGGUUCGUCAGGAGCUAUUGGAAAAGAGCAGAUAUUUUGUAUAGUGUCAAGACCAAUGUCUUGGGCUGUGUUGGUAUUCCUCUUUGAAAUAAAUCCUUCUGUUCUCCCACGGUGCAUACGUUUGCCUCAAUUGUCUGAUAUUUUCUCCCCUUCUGAUGGGCGUACAUUCUAUGCUUUCCCGGAUGGAGUAUAGUUCUAUCAGGAUUUGUUUUUACCACAGUGAUUGGGUAUCAGGUAUAGAUCAAAGUACCAUGUAUCAUUAGGACAAAUCUGAGGCUUUCUUGUUGAUAUGGUUAUAGGCGACACUAAUUUGAUUUCCUUUUCAGAUUCUUUAUUGUUCUUCAGAUUUCAACUGCUGAUGGUACUUGGGAAACAAAGAAUAGUACAAGUGCCAAGUGUUUUCUUACUCACUGCCCCUAACAGUGCACUCCUCACCGUGAGGAGGUGAGGCACUGGAACAGGUUGCCUAGAGAUGUGGCUGGUGCUCCGUCCCUGGGGACUGGACUCGAUGGCUUGCACAGGUCCCUUCCAACUCUAAAGAUUCCAUGAUUCCAUGAUUCUGAGGCUGUGGAGACCAGGUGGGUGUGAACCACUGUACCUAGAGGUGAGGGAUCAACCCUGUGCUCCGGGGAUGCCGACACACCUCAACCAUCUCGUCUCCUCUUUCAGUCCCCAUUCAACUCCAAUGUCCCCAUUGGAGCACAAUGUGCCCAUCACUCCCCACUGUCCCUAUCUCUCCAAUCAGUCCCCUGGAAGCCAUGGUCAACACAGGGACAACAGUGAAAAAGGCUUGUGAAAAAGAGGGUGGGAAUGGGACCCUGGGGACCUCCUUGUGCAGGGCAGCAUUACCUGUGUGAUCAACCAUGGAAAAAAGGGAUUACCUUGGGAUUGGAGAAGGAAGCACUCCCUCAUGGGAACAUCCAUGACAGCCCCUGGACACGUACAUGAUGAGGUGUUGCCACGGGGUUGGAGUGAACACAUUGCUCAGUGCAAGGAGGCAUCAUUCAAGUGAAUAUCAAUCCUGGGCCCAUCCCAGCAAGCAAACACCCCAAACCCAUUUCCCAUUCCCACACAGAGAGCAGCACAUUGCCAGGCAGCAUUUGGAAGGCACCGGCUGUGGAGGAAUCCAGUGUGAGUGCUGGGCAACCCAUAUCCACAGGGAUCUUCUCGCCAUGAGCUCCUGGUAGCAACCCUGCUCAUUCCUUCGUACAUGCUGAAUCCAUUCAUCAAGGGAAAAUUUCUCCACAGUGCUUGCAACCCACGACUCAUGAUGAAAAAUCCCACUUGAAUGGGGAUGGGGGGAACUCCACCUUCAACCAUUCAUGGCUGGACAAAAUGAUCUGUGGCCCUUCUCAAAUGGAACACAAACAAUGAGCACCUAACUUAUGGCAGUACUGUGUCGGCUUCUUUAAUUCUGUGCUUAUACUGUUUGUUUGUUUGUUUGUUUCUUUUGCUGGUUUUUACAAUUCUAUAAGUGAUUCCAUGCCCUUUAAUGUCCCUUCCAACCCAAGCACCUCUAUUUUAUGGCUCUUUGGCAGGCUGGAGAUGAACAGGAGCUUGGGAGGGGACAGAGACAAGAUAGCUGACAAAAAGAGAUAAAACGGACGCUGCAUACAGAAUGAGGUCACACUCAGUAAGAAGAGGUGGGGAAAAGAGGGAAAAGGGAGAAGUUUCCUCCCCCCAAGAGACAGGAAGCACAGCCCCUGCUAAG
ensembl:lncRNA